rnacentral:rRNA from 1 species
GACGAACGCUGGCGGCGUGCUUAACACAUGCAAGUCGAACGGAAAGGCCCUGCUUUUGUGGGGUGCUCGAGUGGCGAACGGGUGAGUAACACGUGAGUAACCUGCCCUUGACUUUGGGAUAACUUCAGGAAACUGGGGCUAAUACCGGAUAGGAGCUCCUGCUGCAUGGUGGGGGUUGGAAAGUUUCGGCGGUUGGGGAUGGACUCGCGGCUUAUCAGCUUGUUGGUGGGGUAGUGGCUUACCAAGGCUUUGACGGGUAGCCGGCCUGAGAGGGUGACCGGCAACAUUGGGACUGAGAUACGGCCAAGAAUCCUACGGGAGGCAGAAGUGGGGAAUAUUGAACAAUGGGCGGAAGCCUGAUGCAGAAACGCCGCGUGCGGGAUGACGGCCUUCGGGUUGUAAACCGCCUUCGCCUGUGACGAAGCGUGAGUGACGGUAAUGGGUAAAGAAGCACCGGCUAACUACGUG